UACGGAGGCAGCAAGCGUUGUUCGGAAUUACUGAGCGUAAAGGGUGCGUAGGCGGUUGGCUAAGUUUGGUGUGAAAUCUCCCGGCUUAACCGGGGGGGUGCGCCGAAAACUGGCUGGCUAGAGUGUGGGAGAGGGAAGUGGAAUUCCUGGUGUAGCGGUGAAAUGCGUAGAUAUCAGGAGGAACACCUGAGGUGUAGACGGCUUCCUGGACCAUUACUGACGCUGAGGCACGAAAGCGUGGGGAGCAAACAGG
rnacentral:rRNA from 1 species